rnacentral:rRNA from 1 species
AGUGAACGCUGGCGGCAGGCCUAACACAUGCAAGUCGAGCGGAUGAACAGAGAGUGCUCGCGGAUACAGCGGCCGAGGGGCGAGCGAGGCAGAAGAAUCUGGGAAGCAGCGGGGGCGAAGGUGAGAACGCGGGCGAACAUACGCUAAUAGCGCAGAGGACGAACGGGUGGAAGCAGCGGACCUUAGGACAUUGGACGAGUGAAGGUGGGGAUGUCGGAUUAGCUAGUUGGCGGGGUAAAGGCCCACCAAGGCGACGAUCCGUAGCUGGUCUGAGAGGAUGAUCAGCCACACUGGAACUGAGACACGGUCCAGACUCCUACGGGAGGCAGCAGUGGGGAAUAUUGGACAAUGGGCGAAAGCCUGAUCCAGCCAUACCGCGUGGGUGAAGAAGGUCUUCGGGUUGUAAAGCCCUUUUGUUGGGAAAGAAGAGCAGCAGGUUAAUACCCCGCUGUUCUGACGGUACCCACAGAAUAAGCACCGGCUAACUUCGUG